rnacentral:rRNA from 1 species
AUAAGCGGAGGAAAAGAAACCAACAGGGAUUGCCCUAGUAACGGCGAGUGAAGCGGCAACAGCUCAAAUUUGAAAUCUGGCGCAAGCCCGAGUUGUAAUUUGUAGAGGAUGCUUCUGGGUAGCGGCCGGUCUAAGUUCCUUGGAACAGGACGUCACAGAGGGUGAGAAUCCCGUAUGUGACCGGCGCGCACCCUCCACGUAGCUCCUUCGACGAGUCGAGUUGUUUGGGAAUGCAGCUCUAAAUGGGAGGUAAAUUUCUUCUAAAGCUAAAUACCGGCCAGAGACCGAUAGCGCACAAGUAGAGUGAUCGAAAGAUGAAAAGCACUUUGGAAAGAGAGUUAAAAAGCACGUGAAAUUGUUGAAAGGGAAGCGCCUGCAACCAGACUUCGCGGCAGUGUUCCGCCGGUCUUCUGACCGGUUCACUCUCUGCCGCGAGGCCAUCAUCGUCUGGGGCCGCCGGAUAAGACUGGAGGAAUGUAGCUCCCCUCGGGGAGUGUUAUAGCCUCCGGUGAUGCGGCGCGUCCCGGGCGAGGUCCGCGCUUCGGCAAGGAUGAUGGCGUAAUGGUUGUCGGCGGCCCGUCUUGAAACACGGACCAAGGAGUCUAACAUCUAUGCGAGUGUUCGGGUGUCAAACCCCUACGCGUAAUGAAAGUGAACGGAGGUGGGAACUUUUUGUGCACCAUCGACCGAUCCUGAUGUCCUCGGAUGGAUUUGAGUAAGAGCAUAGCUGUUGGGACCCGAAAGAUGGUGAACUAUGCCUGAAUAGGGUGAAGCCAGAGGAAACUCUGGUGGAGGCUCGCAGCGGUUCUGACGUGCAAAUCGAUCGUCAAAUUUGGGUAUAGGGGCGAAAGACUAAUCGAACCAUCUAGUAGCUGGUUCCUGCC